GAUGAACGCUGGCGGCGUGCUUAACACAUGCAAGUCGAACGAAGCACUUUAUUUGAUUUCCUUCGGGACUGAUUAUUUUGUGACUGAGUGGCGGACGGGUGAGUAACGCGUGGGUAACCUGCCCUGUACACACGGAUAACAUACCGAAAGGUAUGCUAAUACGAGAUAACAUACUUUUAUCGCAUGGUAGAAGUAUCAAAGCUCUGGCAGUACAGGAUGGACCCGCGUCUGAUUAGCUAGUUGGUGAGGUAACGGCUCACCAAGGCGACGAUCAGUAGCCGACCUGAGAGGGUGAUCGGCCACAUUGGAACUGAGACACGGUCCAA
rnacentral:rRNA from 1 species